AAUGAAAGUAACACGACAGGUUAACAUUUUGAACGAAAAUCGAAACCUGAAAUUACGGUUUUCAACCCCCAAAAUAGGUUCAGCCUCACUUCUGCUAGAAGACCCAAAACUUCAAACAACUUUUUACCUCCAUGACCUAAAGAAGGAGGACAGGCUGACGCGUCGGCUUCACAAACGCCCUGCUCAGAAGAAGAGUUUUGCCAGUUGGAGGUUGUUGGAUCUGCAGGAGCUUCGGACUGAAGGAAAGCUGCAAGAGCCGAGGAGAGAAUGACGAAGCGUCCCACUGAGGGAGGACGGCGGCCGCCAAUUUGUGUGUAUGGACAAACGCAACUUCGAUGGAAGAAACCAUUCUUCAGACAACACGAAGAUUAGAUGUUUUCAAAAGAUUAGAUUGUGUCCAACCACACAUCCCACACCUGCGUACCCAGCAUGCCACCUUCACUCUUUUUAUUCUGCUUUGUAACCACGGCAACGGGAGCUACCUGAUGCAUCAAAACAAAACUAAUCAACAUCUCAUCGCAACUUCCCCACAUGCCUCCUUUUUUUAAAUUUAGGAGGAAAAUUCUGGGAUAACACGAAGGGUGAUUUAAAAAGAAAAGGCAAAUUCAAGUUUGGCCUCAACAUCAUAUCCUUUCUAUUGUUAAAAAAGCAAUAAAUCAUAGCAGAUUCAACAUUUCAUCUAAUUCCCAUUUGUACUCGGCAUAAACACACACGUGUGAAUAAAUAUGGGAAUUUCUUUGGCUAUGCUGGAUUAGCUUGAAGCAGCUGUACUAUACUUCACCCAACCUUCGAAGCCCAGCCACUUAAAGGGAACUUUGACAGUUUGACCAGCAGAGGUCUUAACUUUGCCGAUCCCAAACGUCCAGCCGAAACUCGCCAUGUGUGCUCGGGAAAGCAUAACAAAGAAAAUGAGCUUGAAUCAGUCAUCGGGGGCUUAAUCUAAAAUCUCAUCUGAGCUGUACUGCGGCCUAAUCAGAUUUGCUAUCCGUAGCCGCGGCGGCUCUUGCAGCCAAUUCUUUGGAACUGUGUCACACUGUAAAUUGAGUGUCACACUGCACAUUGUCUCCAAGGACAGACACCAAGGCGAAUGCACACGCGCAUUAGAGAGGGCGCGAUGAUAAAGCCGCUACGCAGAGAGCUGCAGCCCGCCAGACGACACCAUCGGGCCCUUUUUAUAACCUUCUUCAGAAGGUUUAAAUAUGAAAAUACAGGAACGCUUCAUUUGGGGCCAAACUAAACUCAGCUUGAGAUUGAGGAACCAGCAUGUACAGAGUAAAUUCAUUUAAAUGGACCACUGAGCUGGAGGGCUGUGAUGGAGAAAGGCUCCUCACAGCCUCUGCUAACUCCUCAGUAAAUCCAGGUUCUUGGGCAGAAAACCCUUUUUUCCGCUUCUACACCGGUCGAUCGGCACCUCAAUGCUGCGCCGGCGUCAUCGUGAAACUCCGGACCACUAAAGCUGAGAAACCUGACGUGGCCG
rnacentral:lncRNA from 1 species